rnacentral:tRNA from 1 species
CAGAUAUUAGUUUAUUUAAAAUUUUAAUUUUGGAGAUUAAAGAUAAUUUAUUAUUAUAUCUGA